GCGAACAUGAUGGAAUAGGUAGACAUGCUGGAUUAAGAUUCCAGUGCUGAAAAGCGUGAGGGUUCAAAUCCCUCUGUUCGCACCA
rnacentral:tRNA from 1 species